UCACCUACGGGACGCAGCAGUGAGGAAUAUUGGUCAAUGGGCGCGAGCCUGAACCAGCCAAGUCGCGUGAGGGAUGACGGCCCUACGGGUUGUAAACCUCUUUUGACGGGGAGCAAAUUCCGUUACGUGUAACGGAGUCGAGAGUACCCGAAGAAAAAGCAUCGGCUAACUCCGUGCCAGCAGCCGCGGUAAUACGGAGAAUGCGAGCGUUAUCCGGAUUUAUUGGGUUUAAAGGUUGCGUAGGCGGACUGUCAAGUCAGCGGUAAAAUACGGGGGCUCAACCUCCGCCCGCCGUGGAAACGGAG
rnacentral:rRNA from 1 species